GGCGGAGGUUUUGCCGGUUCGAGCCCGUGCGGCUGCCCUGGUUAAUACUGCGCGGGAGGGGGGGGGGGAGUGUAAGGGUCCCGUGACGUCAUUCGAAAUAGAGUAAGGCCCACGCGUUGUGGGCGUUGUAUCACGGUCGAAAUUUGCCGAAUUUCAAAAUGUGCUCACGUGUUGUGUAAUUGGGUCAAAGCAGUUGGCAGUAUCUCUCCCUACUGGGAAACUAAGUUGAUUGAGACUUGUAGAAGCUUUGAAAAUGUUUUUUUUUUACCUCCCUCUUUAAUUCCUCUCGAUUGUUUUCGUGGGGAUAUGUACACGUGGCCUGUAUACAGCACCGCGUUACAGGGUACAGGACAAGCAGGUACAAGAGUUGCAGUGUCAAGUACAGAGCCGCCCGCUCGAGUCACAACUCAUGACCGACCACGUGUAGACCUAAGACGGACCGACAAAGCUGGCUUCGCGCUGCCGGCAAGUCGAUUGUCACUCGCCGCUCCCCCCGGGUCUCGCCCUGCGGCGUAACAAAGCUAGAGCAACUGAAUUAAGGGAAGGCGAGGCGGCCGGUGACCCUGUCCCCUGGCAGCGCUCAAUCGGUGGGGAAAAUUCCACAUUACUGCGGCAAGGACAAUUGCCAAGUCUCUCCGUCGGAUAACCGUUACGAGUGUUUUUCUUCACCCUGUCACGACUGAAUACCCUAUCAUGUAUUUGGGGAGGGGAGGGGGGGUCACGAUUCCUUUAAAGACCAGAUCUUUAUUCCCCGUUCUUAUUUCCUACGUAAGAUUCGCAAUAUAAUUACCGGGCAUCGUAAAAUAAUGGCUUGUUACGCAACUUAUCUUGAUA